GACAGUUCUUCAUACGGUCUCUGCCACGAAAUGGCGGCUGACACAAAAUGUCGGCUCCCUGUGUGUACAAGGGGAUGGACUUCCUGAUCAAUGGACCUCUGGGAGAGCUGGAGGUGUAGGCUGGUUCUGUCGGCCAAUGCCCGCAGAGUAGGUGUGGGCAGGAGGGAGGAGUUCUGGGUCACGCUGCUUUGUUUGUAUGACUGGCGGGAGAUUCGUGUAGGACUGAGGAACAUCUCCUGAUCAGCAGAGCUUGUACUGCCAGCAGCGCAGUGCACAGAGCAAGUCACGGGCUUUGGUGUGCUGCAGGAGGAGCAGUGUUGAGCCGUUGGACUGUUCCUUGCUGGUGGACAGGCUGUCUUGGUGUCAGCUUAGGAAACUCUGUACCCUGAGGACAACUGAAGACAGAAGCAAAUGCGACAAUGAGUACCUCAGCUAGUGUUUCACCUGAAUGGGUUUUAGACAACCACACCAAAAGGACUCUCAAGAGCUAGAAUUCCAUUAGGUCUCGACCGGAGAUGGAAGCUACAGAAAUAAGUAUUGCCACUAGGAAUUCCUAGAGCUGCAAUUCAGAUAUAGCCCACUGCUGUGCUUCAGAGCCUGAUACAAGCAUUUCAGAAAGGAAACACUCCAAAUGCUCUGACUCCUCUGGUACCACCUCCUAGGGAGAGAAAUUGCCUUUUUUUUUUUUUUUUUUUUCCUUUUUUUUUCUCCAUGGAGAUCAUCCGCAGAACACAGAUCCAAAAACUUAUAGAUCCUGGAUUGCAAUUGGACAUGUCUAUCCUGCAGUUUUACACCACUGAAAGGAGCCCAGCUUCAUCCUGCACUCCAUCUGACUCCUGCACUGUAGAUAUCUAUAAACAACUGUGAGAUCCCCUCUCAGUCUUCUCUUCUCCAGGAUCAACAGUCCCAAGCCUUUCAGCCUUUCCUCAUAUGUGAGAAGCUCCAGGCCUCCAGCCAUUUUCAUGGCCCUUCACUGGACUCUCUCUAGAAGUUCCCUGUGUUUUCUUCAGUAAUGCACAGCUGCCACCAACUUGAUUCCAGGUUUUCUAAACUUUCACUAGCAGACUGCCUCUCACCAUCUUUGUUCCAUUUCCACAUUACCAAAGUACGUAGGUGUGAGGGAAGGGAAACACAAGCAGAGGGAAGGGGAUAACACUGUGCUCUUCAGCUAGUCCCAGGCAGGACACUGUGGGCCACAGCUCUAGAAAGGAGGCUGCUGGCCCACAGAGGCAGGAGCAGGGUGUGCAGACUCUUUGUGCUCUGCUCAGAGAAUGGAUGUUGCCUGUUGGUGCUCCUCAGCCUUGGCACCAUAUAGCCAGCGGAUUUUGCUUGUCAGGAUAGACACAGAAUUUGGGAUGGUCUGGCUCUUCUCCCCCGCUGUGGUGGAAAGGAUGAUGUAUCACAGCAUGAUGCCUUAGCAGUGAAGUAUGCUGGCUUUCUCUGCUGCUGCUUUUUGCCUGACAACUUGCUUGCACAGAGCAGAACACUGUCAGUUUCUCAUGCCAGGGGCUGGAAGCUAUCCUCAUCUCUCAGCCCAAAGCUACACAUGUAGCCCCAGGGUAACAAUUGUGCCUGGUUUACCUAGGAGAAAAAGUUGGAGAUGGUGAGGCUGUAUGAGGAACCUUUGAAUCAUGGAAUCAAAGAAUGAGUAAAAUUAGAAGGGAUAUUUAAGUUUAUCUUCUUCCUACCCCCUUCCAUGGGCAGGGACAUCUCCAACCAGACUAGACUUCCCAAAGCCCCAUCCAGCCCAGCCCUGAGCACUUCCAAGGGUGGGGAAUCUAGAGCUUCUAUGGACAACCUGUUACUGACCAUGUAUCUCUUGUCUGAUUUAGAGGUGUUUCUCUUCUUCCUCUACUCAUAACAGGGAUAACAUUGCUCAUGUACAAUCCUGCUUCCAGCUGGCCUGAUAUGAUAUCUGCACAGUGGUUAGCUGUGGACAGAAAUGCCUAUGCAGUAUAAGGUGUGGAAUAAUCACUACUGGCAGCUAUUACUAUUAGAAAUUAAAAUACAGCAUUGCUCAAAAGCAGAGUGCAUUUGGUAUGCAAGGCAUCGUUCCACAGAAGUUCCCUAGGCAACCUUAGGUGCUGGGAACAUCAGGGGAGGUUUAUGCGCUGCCUCUUAAGAGUAAUGGCAUAAAGGGUGGAGUGGAGUGAACAUUUUGCAGCCAUAUUAUGUAAUAACACCACAUGGAAACCUGGAUGGAAACUUGAUGGUACUGUGGUACCGACAAGCUACAUAGUUGCUGCUGUGGACCAAGAGUGUGCCAUUUCUCAACAAAGUACUGUCCCUUGGGUGAACUUCAUACACUCAUUGUAACUCCACAAUACAUCUCCACCCCAAAACUACCUGCCUGCAAGAUGAGAUCACUCCUCAGUGAGCACACACUAUGAAUGUUUUAGCUCAUACCUUUAAAAAGCAAAGAGAUAAUUUUACGCCACUUAAAAUAAAGCUAUUUGUGACUGGA